UACAAGCAUAUACAUUGCUUCAAUUUGGCUUUGCUAGCCAAGCAAGCGUGGUGUUUGCUGAAUAAUCCGGAAUCAUUAUGUGCUACAAUCUUGAGAGCUAACUAUUUCCCGAAUGGUGAUUUAAUGAAUGCAAAUCUAAAGAAGGGUUCCUUUUUUACCUGGCAAAUCAUUAUGGCGAUGGUUAAUUCUCUAAGAAUGGUUAUAUUUGGUGAGUCGGAAAUGGACACAAUAUUGAUACUUGAGAAGAUGCAUGGAUCCCGAAUUGUGCAAAUAGAAAAAUCAUUACUCCUAGAAGGGGGCAACUUUUGUCAAAGGUCUCUAAUCUUAUUACACUAG
rnacentral:rRNA from 1 species